AAAGGAGAAACUAAAUUGUGUGUCUUUGAUCUUAAGGGGGUGCCUAAUGGACUCUCUCUCAUCAGUCACGAGAAAAAGGAAAGAAUGUAGCAGAGAACCCCAGAAGCAAAACAUCCUGGGCCACUCAGCCCCGUGGUGUGGAUGUGCCUCUAUCAGAUAACGCCUGGAACCAGGCUGAAGGUUCUUCCCAGACCCAGCCCGCAAAAGGCUCAGGAAUUUGUGUGGAAAGUUCCCCGGGGCAAGCACCAGAGGCCCAGUGCUAUCAUUCUGGCUGUCUGACCUUCAACAAAUCGCCUGAACACCAUGAGCCCCCAACCCCCUCAGCUGGAGCUCCUUCCUGCCCUUUCUCCUUGUUUUCGGAAGGAACCCAGAGCCGGUAAGUCAUCUGUAAGGGUCAGGUGCUCACCUUUUUAAGUUCAAAUGCUUUAUUGAGGUACUUAAAGUGUAUUAGAUGUUUUUCCUAAAUAUUCGUGGGUGGGUAUUGCUAGGGUUCCACCUUGCCACGUGAUCGCCAGGGGCCAGAAUGGUCUUCUCACGGCCCCAAAAGGAAAUUGUUC
rnacentral:lncRNA from 1 species